rnacentral:rRNA from 1 species
GCUCCAAUAGCGUAUAUUAAAGUUGUUGCGGUUAAAAAGCUCGUAGUUGGAUUUCUGCUGGGGACGACCGGUCUACUCAUCGAGUGUGCAUCUGGUUCGGCUUGGCAUCUUCUUGGAGAACGUAUCUGCACUUGAUUGUGUGGUGCGGUAACCAGGACUUUUACUUUGAGGAAAUUAGAGUGUUUCAAGCAGGCGAACGC